UAUGACAUUGCGUGUGUUAUCUGUUAUCAACUUCAUUCCUUUAUCGUGUUUUGACAAGCCUAACCCACCGAACAUACAUACACCGAAACUCAACAUCACCUGAAGGAAGACAGGCGAGUCCGGAUUACAAACAGGGGCACGACGCGGGCAACGCAAGUCAGCUGUUCUGUCGUCUGCUGUCAGGUUGGUUCGGCGGCAGCCAACAGUCAGUCUCCUCCAACAAUUAUACUGCAAGAUUAGGACCUAAUUUUAAAGCUAACUUCAAAGCUAAUUGUAUUGAUUAAUUACUUAACGUUGAUAACAAUUCUUAACAAAUGCACACUUUAUACUUUUCUUGUGUUGCCAUUCUGGGAACAUAUGUACACUUCUUAAAUUGAAUGCAUAUGUUCAUGAUCGAAACAUGAUCAUUGUACCUCAAAAUUGGUAAUUUCUCAUAGACAAGAUAGGUUUGAAAAAAAUAAUUACCAGCUUUGACAGCUAAAAGUUGUCUUAACAUAAAAAAAAAAAGCCUCAUAAAUCUCACUGGAAAAAAAAAAAAGAUGCAGCUGCCUGUUUCCCCACCACACCUUACAAUACUUCAGUCAGACUCAGUAUGUAUAGUGAGCAAAACUAACUUACUCCAGCUAUACUCGGAAAAUAUUUUAUUAUUUUUUGUUGGGGAGGGGGGGGGGCACAAUAAGAAAUUAGAUUUAGAGAAACUUAUAAUUCACUGGAUAGAGAACGUUACAAAUGUUCGAUUUUGUCAAAACUAAAACUAAAUGGUAAGAUAGAACGAUGGUUGAGUCAUUUUUCUUUCAACAGAUCUAGUGGCAUCAUGUAAUACACCUAUAAAUCCUCACCAUAAAUAAUCCAGAAAGAACUGCAACAGACAAGAGAAAAUAAAUAUCAAUGAUAAGGAAUAGCACACUGCACAAGUUCUUGGGGGAAUUUGUACCCACUCACUUUUGAAGGUUUUCUUCAUGCUUAAGUAUAGUUGAAUUUCAUCUUGAACAAGUACUGGAACUUGACCUGGGCAGUAUCAUAGACAAUAUAUCUGAAAACUGGAUAAGGAAUAAUUCACCUCAACUUGGACAGCUGCUGUACAACAAAGGCAAUAAUAAAAAGCAAUAAAAUGAAUAUUCAAGAACAAAUGGACAGCACUUGGAAGAAAUCUUCACAAAAAUCAGAACAUAAAGGAUACUCGUUGUAGAGUAGUGUCGAAUCCGUGUCAAUAUCAGUAAUGCCUUCUCCAAGAGGAAUCUCGACACCAUCAUCAGUUUUGAUUGUUUGUUUCGGAUCUGGUUCAGUUUUGCCAAUACCUUUGCAACUGUGCAUGCCCUUGGGAAGCUUUUCAAUGUAAUCAGCACGAGUUCGUUCAUACCUGCACACAGAUUUCAAUUUAAUUGUAACCUAUCAGGAAAAAGUUGGACAAAAAAAAUGGAAAAAAUGGGAUUGAUCCCUUUACUUACAUAUUACCAAGAGCAACCUCACACAACAACAUGUAACCAAUAGGGUUUGACUUUGUUGUGCUGCAGUAAUUUGCUGACUUGGAAACCAUGUCAGCAAAGUAAAUACCUUUACCAAACAUGUAACCAGUGACAGGUGCUUCGGGUGGUGCAAUUCUCAGACCCUGAAAUUAAUAAAAUAAUUAAUAAUAUCACUCUACAGGAGAAAUUAAAUUGGAAGAUUAAGGUUUGUCAAUUAUAUUACCUGAGACAGGAUACCAGCAUAAUUUGUAAGACGUGAUCCAUGCCAUAAAAGUUUUCUGUUGUGCAGCUUUUUGAAAGGCUUGAACUUGCGCUCUUCUCCAUGCCUACGAACUUUGAACACCUGCAAAAGAGGGGGAAUCAGCCAUUUUCUCUACUUUUAACCAAUGACUAAAAAUUAAAUGUACUAGUGGAUAUCUUUACCUCAUCAAUGUCAAGAGAGAAGUUAGUGUGAGUAGCACCAUGAGUAUUUUUGACAUAUUUCUGAAGUAAUGCAAAUUCAUCACUUUCCUUGCUCAGUACUUCUAUGUCUGCCUUUAGUUUCUGAUACUGACUAUCAAUCGGAUGAACACUAUCAUCACCUGAACCACUCUCCAACAAGUUGUAAGCUAUUUCAAUCUCAAGCAAGUUGUCUAUGACUUCCAUUUUUUGCUGAGAAUUACACACAAUGCAUGGUUAUUAACAA